GACGAACGCUGGCGGCGUGCUUAAUGAAUGCGAGUCGAGCGAGAACCGGACUGAGGAAACCUUCGGGUGGAAUCAGUCUGGGGAGAGCGGCAAACGGGUGAGUAACACGUGGGUAACCUGCCCCUCAGACGGGGAUAAUUCGCCGAAAGGCGGACUAAUACCCGAUGGUGAUGUGCCAACACAUGUUGAUACAUCUAAAGGCUCCGGUGCUGAGGGAGGGGUCCGCGGCCGAUUAGCUUGUUGGUAGGGUAACGGCCUACCAAGGCUUCGAUCGGUAGCCGGUCUGAGAGGAUGACCGGUCACACUGGGACUGAGACAUGGUCCAGACUCCUACGGGAGUUAGCAUCAGGGAAUCUUGCGCAAUGGGCGAAAGCCUGACGCAGCGACGCCGCGUGGGUGAUGAAGGCCUGCGGGUCGUAAAGCCCUGUCGGGAGGGAAGAAACAGCACCUUCGGGUGCUUUGACUGUACCUCCGGAGGAAGCCCCGGCUAAUUACGUGCCAGCAGCCGCGGUAAUACGUAAGGGGCCAGCGUUGUCCGGAAUUACUGGGCGUAAAGAGCACGUAGGCGGUUAGGAAAGCGAUAGGUGAAAUCCCCCGGCUCAACCGAGGAACUGCUUAUCGAACUGCCUGACUAGAGCACGGGAGAGGGCACUGGAAUUCCUGGUGUAGCGGUGGAAUGCGUAUAUAUCAGGAGGAACACCGGUGGCGAAGGCUGGUACCUGGAACGUUGCUGACGCUAAGGUGCGAAAGCCAGGGGAACAAACGGGAUUAGAUACCCCGGUAGUCCUGGCCGUAAACGAUGGACACUAGGUGUUGGAGGUUCGACCCCUUCAGUGCUGUUAAGCUAACGCGUUAAGUGUCCCGCCUGGGGAGUACGGUCGCAAGGCUGAAACUCAAAGGAAUUGACGGGGGCCCGCACAAGCGGUGGAGCAUGUGGGUCAAUGGGAUGAUACGCCGAGAACCUUACCAGGGCUUGACAUGACCCUGAUCCCCUGCGAAAGCAGGUCUUCUGGGCAACCAGACAGGGCCACAGGUGGUGCAUGGUUGUCGACAGCUCGUGUCGUGAGAUGUUGGGUUAAGUCCCGCAACGAGCGCAACCCUCGCCGGAUGUUGCCAGCGGUUAGGCCGGGCACUCUUCCGGGACUGCCGGAGUAAUCCGGAGGAAGGGGGGGAUGACGUCAAAUCUGCAUGCCCCUUAUGUCCUGGGCUGCACACGUGCUACAAUGGCGAGUACAAAGGGUCGCGAAGCCGCGAGGCCCAGCUAAUCCCCAAAAACUCGUCCCAGUACGGAUUGGAGUCUGCAACUCGACUCCAUGAAGUCGGAAUCGCUAGUAACCGUGGAUCAGCAAUGCCGCGGUGAAUACGUUCCCGGGCCUUGUACACACCGCCCGUCAAGUCACGGAAGCCGACAGCACCCCAAGUCCGCUACGGCGGCCCAAGGUGAGGUCAGUGACUGGG
rnacentral:rRNA from 1 species